UAGGGAAUCUUGCGCAAUGGACGAAAGUCUGACGCAGCGACGCCGCGUGAGCGAUGAAGGCCUUCGGGUCGUAAAGCUCUGUGGGGAGAGACGAAUAAGGUACGGCUAAUACCCGUAUCGAUGACGGUAUCUCCUUAGCAAGCACCGGCUAACUCUGUGCCAGCAGCCGCGGUAAGACAGAGGGUGCAAACGUUGUUCGGAAUUACUGGGCGUAAAGCGCGCGUAGGCAGCAGCGUGUGUCGGGCGUGAAAUCCCACGGCUCAACCGUGGAAGUGCACUCGAAACUGCGCAGCUAGAGUCUCGGAGAGGAAGGCGGAAUGCUUGGUGUAGAGGUGAAAUUCGUAGAUAUCAAGCGGAACACCGGUGGCGAAGGCGGCCUUCUGGACGAUGACUGACGCUGAAGCGCGAAAGCGUGGGGAGCAAACAG
rnacentral:rRNA from 1 species